CAGAGAACAUCGCCCUCACGGGGUGACUCUCCAACCCUAUGUUAUAUAACCUUUGUUGCUUUGGCGAGCCGCCUUGGCCGCUGGCUUCGGCCAGCGAGUGCUCGCCAGAGAACCCCAAACUCUGAAUAUUAUUGUCGUCUGAGUACUAUAUAAUAGUUA
rnacentral:misc_RNA from 1 species